rnacentral:rRNA from 1 species
CUUUGCCUACGGGGCGCAGCAGUGGGGGAUAUUGCACAAUGGGGGGAACCCUGAUGCAGCGACGCCGCGUGGGUGAAGAAGCGCCUCGGCGCGUAAAGCCCUGUCAGCAGGGAAGAAAAUGACGGUACCUGAAGAAGAAGCCCCGGCUAACUACGUGCCAGCAGCCGCGGUAAUACGUAGGGGGCAAGCGUUAUCCGGAUUUACUGGGUGUAAAGGGGGCGCAGACGGCGAUGCAAGCCAGGAGUGAAAGCCCGGGGCCCAACCCCGGGACUGCAUUUGGAACUGUAAGGCUAGAGUGUCGGAGG